rnacentral:rRNA from 1 species
CAACUCCGGAUCUGCGGUGGGUACGGGCAGACUAGAGUGAUGUAGGGGAGACUGGAAUUCCUGGUGUAGCGGUGAAAUGCGCAGAUAUCAGGAGGAACACCGAUGGCGAAGGCAGGUCUCUGGGCAUUAACUGACGCUGAGGAGCGAAAGCAUGGGGAGCGAACAGGAUUAGAUACCCUGGUAGUCCAUGCCGUAAACGUUGGGCACUAGGUGUGGGGGACAUUCCACGUUUUCCGCGCCGUAGCUAACGCAUUAAGUGCCCCGCCUGGGGAGUACGGCCGCAAGGCUAAAACUCAAAGGAAUUGACGGGGGCCCGCACAAGCGGCGGAGCAUGCGGAUUAAUUCGAUGCAACGCGAAGAACCUUACCAAGGCUUGACAUGGACCGGACCGCCGCAGAAAUGUGGUUUCCCCUUUGGGGCCGGUUCACAGGUGGUGCAUGGUUGUCGUCAGCUCGUGUCGUGAGAUGUUGGGUUAAGUCCCGCAACGAGCGCAACCCUCGUUCCAUGUUGCCAGCGCGUAAUGGCGGGGACUCAUGGGAGACUGCCGGGGUCAACUCGGAGGAAGGUGGGGACGACGUCAAAUCAUCAUGCCCCUUAUGUCUUGGGCUUCACGCAUGCUACAAUGGCCGGUACAAAGGGUUGCGAUACUGUGAGGUGGAGCUAAUCCCAAAAAGCCGGUCUCAGUUCGGAUUGGGGUCUGCAACUCGACCCCAUGAAGUCGGAGUCGCUAGUAAUCGCAGAUCAGCAACGCUGCGGUGAAUACGUUCCCGGGCCUUGUACACACCGCCCGUCAAGUCACGAAAGUUGGUAACACCCGAAGCCGGU